UAAGAGAUGAGGUGUAAAGGUUUCUCGUGUUGGACAGAUGCACUGCCUAAUUAUUAUUGAGUGAGUGCUCAGAGAAGGUGAAAAGCCUGUAUGGUUGUGUCUAUCUGUCGAAUCGAGUUACUGACGAGUCUAGUUGUUUGAGAGUACAACUUAAAGCUGGUGGUAAAUUUCAUCAAAGGCUAAAUAUAUGAGGGGACUAAUAGCGAACAAGUACCAUGAGGGAAAGUUGAAAAGUACUCUGAAGAGAGAGUUCAAUAGUGCGUGAAACCAUAUUGAGUAAAACAGAUAACGGUGCUUUUAUGUGGCGUGCCCAUCAACAACGAAUUCGGUGUUGCUAAAACUUGAGUGUGAGCUGUUUUUUCAGACGAUCGCUCUUGUUUGGCAUAGCUGAAAGCUUUGUGCACUGGUGCCGCCCAAUCAUUGAGAAACCAUACUGCUGUGGCAUCGACUCGCAAUUGUGCAAGCUUGCUUGUAAUUGUGAGUUGGGUUUACUGGCGGUGUGGUUUAGCUGUGUGACAGCUGUGAAAUGCGUUUGCUGAAUGUAUCUGCUUUGUCGGUAAAUCGGUUUAUUCCUUUUUGCUGUGAGUAUGAUGCAGUAGGUAAGUGUUUCACCAUCAAUGUAUGCAUUUGUUAUUUGACCCGUCUUGAAACACGGACCAAGGAGUUCAAAUGGCACGCGAGUCAUUGGGUAUAAACACCCGAAGGCGAAGUGAAAUGCGAUUCUUUAUCGUUACUCGUAGUUGUUCUGCGAUUAAGCGAUAAGCUACUCAUGCUU
rnacentral:rRNA from 1 species